GAUGAACGCUGGCGGCGUGCCUAAUACAUGCAAGUCGAGCGAACAGAUGAGGAGCUUACUCCUCUGACGUUAGCGGCGGACGGGUGAGUAACACGUGGAUAACCUACCUAUAAGACUGGGAUAACUACGGGAAACCGGAGCUAAUACCGGAUAAUAUAUUGAACCGCAUGGUUCAAUAGUGAAAGACGGUUUUGCUGUCACUUAUAGAUGGAUCCGCGCCGCAUUAGCUAGUUGGUAAGGUAACGGCUUACCAAGGCAACGAUGCGUAGCCGACCUGAGAGGGUGAUCGGCCACACUGGAACUGAGACACGGUCCAGACUCCUACGGGAGGCAGCAGUAGGGAAUCUUCCGCAAUGGGCGAAAGCCUGACGGAGCAACGCCGCGUGAGUGAUGAAGGUCUUCGGAUCGUAAAACUCUGAUAUUAGGGAAGAACAAAUGUGUAAGUAACUAUGCACGUCUUGACGGUACCUAAUCAGAAAGCCACGGCUAACUACGUG
rnacentral:rRNA from 1 species